ACCAGAGGCCCCAGCACCACCAGAGGCACCAGUGGCCCCAGCAGAGGCACCAGUGGCACCAGCACCGGAGGCCUCAGCAUCUAACAGCAGAUUAGUACUCGUGUUCUGUCCAGGAACCAAACUAUCGCGCACUUCAACGUACGCGUCUUCGUCAGCAUCAUUCCAGUCGUCAGGGUCGAGGCCUGAAACGGACUCCAGCCAACACCUAGACGCGUCGUUCCGAGACGACAUCGAUUCUGCAUCCUGCCAAACCUGGAUAUCGUUUUUCCAGGUGUUAAGUAGUUCACUUGGGGACUCGUAGCGUGUCUCCAGGCCACUUUCCAUCAUAUCUCUGUAAUCGCAAUUAUCUGCACGAUGGACUGCAUUCAAGUUAUUCUUUGUAGGUUCAUCUUCAAUUUUAUUAGUUUGUGUCAGUAAGCAAUUUCCUAAAAUAUUUCCUUCCAUUCGUGUCUUUUCAAGACUUAUGCCUUUA